rnacentral:rRNA from 1 species
AUACGUAGGUGGCAAGCGUUAUCCGGAAUUAUAGGGCGUAAAGCGCGCGUAGGCGGUUUUUUAAGUCUGAUGUGAAAGCCCACGGCUCAACCGUGGAGGGUCAUUGGAAACUGGAAAACUUGAGUGCAGAAGAGGAAAGUGGAAUUCCAUGUGUAGCGGUGAAAUGCGCAGAGAUAUGGAGGAACACCAGUGGCGAAGGCGACUUUCUGGUCUGUAACUGACGCUGAUGUGCGAAAGCGUGGGGAUCAAACAGGAUUAGAAACCCUAGUAGUCC